rnacentral:rRNA from 1 species
UACGGAGGGGGCUAGCGUUGUUCGGAAUUACUGGGCGUAAAGCGCACGUAGGCGGCUUUGUAAGUUAGAGGUGAAAGCCCAGAGCUCAACUCUGGAACUGCCUUUAAGACUGCAUCGCUUGAAUCAUGGAGAGGUCAGUGGAAUUCCGAGUGUAGAGGUGAAAUUCGUAGAUAUUCGGAAGAACACCAGUGGCGAAGGCGGCUCACUGGUCCGGUACUGACGCUGAGGUGCGAAAGCGUGGGGAGCAAACAGG